rnacentral:lncRNA from 1 species
GGUUCCUUUCCCAUGUGAGGGAAGUUUUCGGCUGUUAUCUCUUGGAAUAUUUUUUCUGUCCCCUUCUCUCUCUCUUCUCCUUCUGGCACCCCUAUAAUAUGGAUGUUGAUGUGUUUCACGUUGUCCCAGAGUUCUCUGAGACUCUCUUCAUUUGUUUUCAAUCUUUUUUCUCUUUUCUGUUCUGCUUCCGUAAUUUCCACUAAUCUGUCCUCCACCUCGCUUAGUGUUCUUCUGCCUCCUGUAUUCUGCUGUUAGCUGCUUCUAGUGAGUUUUUUAUUUCAGUUAUUGUAUUUUGCAUCUCUUCUUGUUUAAGUUUGAUAUCUUGUAUCUCUUUGCUCAGUGUUUCCUGUAAGUUAUGCAUCUUUGCCUCCAGUUUAUUUCCAAUGUCUUGCAUCAUCUUCAGCAUCAACAGUCUAAAGUCUUUUUCCUGGAGCCUGAGAAUCUCCUCAUCGCUUAGCUGAUUUUCUUGGGUUUUUCCUUUUUCCCUCAUCUGAGUUAUAGUUCUCUGUCUUUUCAUCAUUAUAGGUUUUUGGUGUGGUGACCUUUUUACAGAGAAUAGAGUUGUAGCCUCUCUUACUUCUGGUGUCUGCCCUCCUUGUGGCUGAAGUCAGUAUGGGGGCUUGGUGUAGGCUUCCUGAUGGGAGGGGCUUAUGCCUGCCCCCUGGUAGGUGGAGCUGAUUCUAACCCCUCUGGUGGGUGGGGCUUAGUCUCUGGAUGGGAUUAGAGGCAGCUGUGUGCCUGAGGGGUCUUUAGGUAGCCUGUUUACUGAGGGGUGGGGCUGUGAUCCCACCUGAAUUGUUGUUUGGCCUGGGGCUUCUCAGCACUGACUGAUGGGUGGGGCCAGAUUUUCCGAAAAUGGCCACCUCCAGAGAAAGGCAGCUGCUGAAUAUUCCUAGAGCUUUGCCUUCAAUGUCCCUCCCUCACAACAAGCCACAUUCACCCCUGUUUUCCCAGGAUGUCCUCCAAGAACUGCAGUUAGGUUUGACCCAGAUUCCCAUGGAGCCUUUGCUCUGCCCUGGGACCCAGUGCACGUGAAAGUCCGUGUGCACCUUUUAAGAAUGGGGUCUCCAUUUCCCCCAGUCCUGUGGAGCUCCUGCACACAAGCCCCACUGGCCUUCAAUGCCAGAUGCUCCAGGGGCUCUUUCUCCCAGUUCUGGAUCCCUGCACAUGAGGGUUUGAUGUGGGGCUCAGAACUUUCACUCCUAUAGGUGAGUCUCUGUGAACCAGUUGGUUUUCAGUCUGUGGAGCUUCCCACCCAGGAGGUAUGGGGUUGUUUAUAUCACUAAAUCGCCCCUCCUACCUCUUGAUGUGGCCUCCUCUUUUUCUUCUGAAGUAGGGUAUCUUUUUUAAGGUUUCCGGUCCAUUUGGGUGGAGAUUGCUCAGCCUUUAGUUGUGAAUUUUGUUGUUUUUAGGAGAGCAGUUGAGCUCCAGUCCUUCUAUUCCGCCAUCUUAAUCCUCUGGACUCACUCCCAUUCAAGCAUUUUUAUGUGUCAUUUAUAUGUGUAGGUCCAGUUCGAAGAAGUUGAAGACUCCUGUCAGUUGUAGCAAUGCUGUGUGCCUCCAUAAACUUCACCUCUGUAGUAGAGCCUAGGCUUGGCUGAAUGUGGCCCAAAUCCUAAGGACUUAAGGUCUUUCCAGAGCUACCAAGAUUACUUUUCUUGUUUACCUCAGAAUUACUUUUUUCAAAAGCAUUCUGAAGGAGACUCUCUGGCCUUGAGAUGGCUUUUGUUCACAAGAGCCUCUCUACAAGCCAGGUCAGUUAUCAGUUAUGUAACCCUCUAAGCAAAUUUGAGGGAGUCUUAGAGUUCACCUGUGGGUUUUUUUGUUGUUGUUGUUUUUUGAGAGGGAGGUGGGUACACUCUUGCCUGGAAUUGGCUGAAAGCAGAUUGUAUCCAAAGCUCUCUAGACCAAAGUGAGUCCCCAACUUAAUUCAACGUUAGCAUCUACUCCACAGAUAUGUAGCAAAAGACAAUGAGUGGGCGUUAUUUUCUGAUGUACUCUGUUUUGUUAUUUUCUUAGAUAGGAGUGGCUUCAUCUGUGUGUGUGUGUGUGUGUGUGUGUGCGCGCGCGCGCGCGUGCGCAGGCACGGUUGCAUGCAAGAUCUUGAAUAUUUAUGGCCCAAUAUAUACAUUUAAAUAUAACUGAAAUUUAAUGGUGGGUUGUGUUACUAUAUUAGAUUGGUUGGAGAAAUGUAAUAAUGAGAAAAAAAGGAUCAUUAUUGAAAUGAAUUUCCUUUAAAUAAGCAUUAUCUGAAUUGAAGUGGGAGAGUAGGACUCCCUAAAACAUGAAAUGGUCUUUAGUACUAAGGCUUCAACAUGUCUCUGAGUAAUGAACCAUAACACAUAGGCCCACUGCUGAGUUUUGUAUCGUGGGACUGACUGAUAAAUUAAAUCAGGGCUGCUGGCCCCCCUGAGAUAGGGAAUUUAACUUGUUAUAUGUAUCAACAUUAAGGGGAGGAAAUCCAUAAUACACAGCAGUUAAAGCAGACUCCUGAUCCCUCCAGCUCAUUCUUUUGGGCUUCAUUGCCCACUUAGUUACACCUCAUCCCCUGCUUUUCUUUGGCCAUCUGAUGGCCCUCUUCCCUUGCCCCAGCUUCCCCAGGGGCUGAACUAGUAGGUGAACCUCAGAACGUUGCCCAGCCUUGCUCUUUGCCAUUCUGUUCUGGAUAACUCUCUGCCCCAUUGAAUGCAAGGCCCAAGGGCCUCUUCUUUUUCUUGACAAAAGUUACUUGCACAGAAUAAAGUUGGGCCCGACCCAGCUAUAAAAAAUCCAUGCCAUGGCACUUCUGUGAAUGAACUUCACACUGAAUCACACUCUCCAUCCAUGCACUGUUAAAUUUUAGAUCCCUGGAGCAAUAACGCAGUCUAAACUGGACGUUUGACUGACUUAAAGGGCUGCCUUUCCUAUUAUUUGGUUGGUCAUGUAUUUAUCAUAUAUUCCAUCCUUUGUUCAGCAUUUGCUGAUUGUCCUUCAGGUCAUGAUAAAAGCAAAAGCUCACUUUUACUGAAUGCUUACUAUGUGCUAGGCACUGUGCUAAGUACUUUAUAUCUUUAGUUGAUUUCAAUAAUCCCAUGAAUCAGGCAUUAUUAUUAUCUUUAUUGUACAGGUGGGGAAAUAGAGGCAUAGGAGUUUGAAUAACUUCACCCCCAAGGCCACCAGCUGGUGAGCCCCGUAUUUUUUUAAUUGAAGUAUGGUUGAUUUACAAUGUUGUAUUAGUUUCAGGUAUGCAGCAAAGCGAUUCAGUUUUACAUUUUUAUGUAUUAUAUGUGUAUAUAUAUAUAUACACACACGUGCACAAACACAAAUAUAUAUAUACUUUUUCAGAUUCUUUUCCAUUAUAGUUCCGUGUGCUAAACAGUAGAUACUUGGUGUUUAUUUUAUACAUAGUAGUGGGUGUUUAUUAAUUCCAAAUUCCUAAUUUAUCCCUCCCCCUUUCCCACUUGUUAAUUAUAAGUUUGUUUUCUACAUCUGUGAGUCUGUUUCUUUUUUGUAAAUAAGUUUAUUUGUAUCUUUUCUGGAUUCUACAUAUAAGUGAUAUAUGAUAUUUGACUUUGUAUUUUACUUCACUUAGUAUGAUAAUCUCUAGGUCUGUCCAUGUUGCUGCAAAUAGCAUUAUUUUGUUCUUUUUAUGGCUGAGUAAUAUUCCAUUGUACAUAUGUACCACCUCUUUUUUAUCCAUUCCUCUGUUGAUGGGGCGAGUCCCAUGUUUGAAUGACUGCAACAGCAAUCCUUCAUCCAAGUUACUAGAGGAAUUUUAAAUUAUAAACAAACUAUUCUAUUAUCUAGCUUUCUUAUUCUUCACUAAUUAAACCUGAAAAUGACAGCAAGGUGACCCAGAAAAGGAAACAUCUCCUUUCCUAAUACUCUGUUAAUUUUUUUGUGAGCUCAGGAGUAGAUGCAGAGUUAGGGGUGCAUGCAGCCAGAAAGACAUAAAGAAAUAUUGGGAAAAAAAAAA